ACGUGCACGCGGCGUUAGCAAAAUUUAAUGAAAUGCUGUUGUUUUACCAUAAAGUAUUAAUUAAAAUAGCUUUCAAAAUACGCGGUGCACCGUUACACUAAUGAAUAUUUCGUUUAAAAUGUGGAAUAUACGUUUUUCGAACGCUUUAUGGGCGUAAAGUUUUGAAAAUAGUGUCCUUGGUUGAAAUCGGUUUGCUGUUUACAAAUGUGAGCAUCUAACACAAUGAUCUCAAACACGCUUCGGAUAGAUAAUUCGUCGCACUGUACCACGCCAUCAGAUAGAAACGGCCCACAACUGGUGCCUGUCAAAGUCGGUUGUAUGCAUAUUAACCUUGCUACCGAGCGCGGUCGGAAGAUAUUUCUCCUGCAAAUGUUGGUACUCUGUUUCGUGCCACAUGCGGCGCUCGUUUUACAGAACUGCACAAUUAUGGCCCAUCUUUCGCA